GCUUGUGUUGUGACCGAACUGGUUUUGAACUCCAAAAAUAGAUUGCUACUGAAGUUUCCAAUUCAUAAAUAUCAACUAUAAAACUUCAUAAUGUUUGAGGGACAUGAUGCAAAACUACAAUUCUAAGUUCUACAAAUUAAGAACAUGUCUUUACAAUAAAUUACAGAUGGAACUCACUAAAAUGAUCAGAAAGGAAAUAUUCUAAAGACUUCCAAAACUGGGGAGGAGAUGCUAAAUACAAAAUUUGAAAAUAGAGAAAGUCAAGCAAAAAGACAGUCA